rnacentral:sRNA from 1 species
UGAAGAAGAAGAGGAAGAAGAGAAUGCGUGAGAG